rnacentral:rRNA from 1 species
UACGAAGGGUGCAAACGUUGCUCGGAAUCAUUGGGCGUAAAGCGCACGUAGGCGGCUUGCCAAGUCGGACGUGAAAUCCCUCAGCUCAACUGAGGACGUGCAUCCGAAACUGCAGAGCUUGAGUACUUAAGAGGAUCGCGGAAUUCCCGGUGUAGAGGUGAAAUUCGUAGAUAUCGGGAGGAACACCAGUGGCGAAGGCGGCGAUCUGGGAAGAUACUGACGCUGAGGUGCGAAAGCGUGGGGAGCAAACAGG